GACGAACGCUGGCGGCGUGCUUAACACAUGCAAGUCGAACGGAAAGGCCCUGCUUUUGUGGGGUGCUCGAGUGGCGAACGGGUGAGUAACACGUGAGUAACCUGCCCUUGACUUUGGGAAAACUUCAGGAAACUGGGGCUAAUACCGGAUAGGAGCUCCUGCUGCAUGGUGGGGGUUGGAAAGUUUCGGCGGUUGGGGAUGGACUCGCGGCUUAUCAGCUUGUGGGUGGGGUAGUGGCUUACCAAGGCUUUGACGGGUAGCCGGCCUGAGAGGGUGACCGGCCACAUUGGGACUGAGAUACGGCCCAGCCUCCUACGGGAGGCAGCAGUGGGGAAUAUUGCACAAUGGGCGGAAGCCUGAUGCAGCACCGCCGCGUGCGGGAUGACGGCCUUGGGGUUGUAAACCGCUUUCGCCUGUGACGAAGCGUGAGUGACGGUAAUGGGUAAAGAAGCACCGGCUAACUACGUG
rnacentral:rRNA from 1 species